CCAAAGCUUUGGGCUGCGGCUUAUGCUUGGGGACAGACAACUGGUCACCCCGGUGCUCCGCCACAUGCCCGUGCAAAGACAGCUUCUCUUGGCGCUUGUUCAACGAAGGGUACAUCUAUCCUCAGGGGUCCCCAUGUUCUGAAGUGCCUCCAGAAAAGCUUCGUUGGCAGGUAAUUGUCCAGCUGCGGUUGGUCUUAUCUUAAUUGCGGGUGCUUCAAUGCAGGCCACGCUCCCUCUGAUGAACACAUGUAUGGAGAUUGAGGGAACAUGCUGGGGGAAUAGAUCGAGACAAUUUACCAAUUUUUAUGUGUAUUUUAAUUUCGCUUUUGUUUUGCAAAAAACGAGAUCGGCUCUGAUGCCUUCAUCGUGUAUUUUUAGACAAAACGCCCGUCCAUGUAUCAGUGUCUCGCUUCCAUUUUAAGGCGCUCGAUAUGUGUUUUCGCCUAUUGAUCCCACACAUGCAAAGUGCAAAAAGCAACGGUGACCCCGAGGUGUUCAAAUCCAAACGGUCAUUGUCUCCACCCAUUCUAAAUCUAUACUUCAAUUAGCCAUCUGAUCAUAUAUAUAUCCGCGUCAAUAGGAGGCUUUAGGGGAGUUAGUGUUUGCAUUGCCCCAGUCAAAGGUGGUGACUGACCAAUAAAAUAUUUCCAGAGUGCCAUCAAUAACACUGACAUGCAGACUAAUACAGUACGGGAUUGUGGGUCGGGGGGAUUGUGGCGGGGGGGUUGGAGGCCCGUUGUGCCGGCUCCAAGCAGAAUGGAUGAACACAAGGCCAAAAGGUUACCGGGCAGACUUCAACCUCCACCCGCUCGUAUGUGCGUUUGAUAGUGACAGGGGCAAUUAUAAAGGUAUAUUUCAGACAGGUCAAAUGGGAGAGGGCAAAGUGCAGAACCUUUCAAGCAGUGGCUGGAGUCAAAGGUUAGCAAGGACACGGGGCAUCGCCGAGCGCCGCUGGGCAGGGGAUAAUGGAAUAAGAGCAAUAAAGACGUAGACUGAUGAGACGGGGAGAAAGGAAAUUGUCUCCUCAUUUAUUCGGUACAUUUAAUGACAAUACAUCACACGAGGUGCGCCGGAUCCGAAUCUACGAGUACGGCUCAGAUCGAUUGGUUUGCGUUCAGCACAAGAAGCGUUUUGCGUUGUAAGCACACUGUAUGCCUUCUGCGCCGGCGUUAUGCUUCACGGUCUUCAAAUAUGAGUAGCCCAAGGUCGAGGAAGGUCAGGGUGUGCAUUUAGCAUCAGUGACCAAUGCCAAAUGUAAAGGUCAAAGUGGAAUUGCCUGACUCCGAGCCAUACAACAUUUGCUCGUUCGCAUUUAGUAUGCAUCCCAUUGUCAGUGAUUUAUGGGGGGAGAUAAGCGCAAGGAUGGGAAGAAAACACUGUCUUUCUCCUAUCCCGUCAGCCUCGGUAAAUACACUACUCACUCAUAUCAAUCACGGUGUCACAGCGAAUCGCCAGCGUGGGCUUCCUGUUCAGAUUAAAAACGUUCUUUUUUUUUUUCUUGCUCUGCUUUCUCGCUCAAGCUCUGGGGAGCACACUGGCUGUAUUGUUCCGUAUUAGCAUUUCAAACAGCUGCGCGACAAAAGUAGUUAUAUGUUGAAAGUCAGCAGUCUGCUUUUCGUUAUGUGCCACGCUGCAUGAAUAGAUUCCAUACUCUAUCAAUCAUGCACGACGCAAGCAAGCAUUCAAUUAAGCAUGAAAAUAGGGGAGAUAAAAUAAUGAUUGAAGAGUGGAAACUCAAAAUCAAAAAUCUAACUACUGUAUCCAGUAUAAAAAAUGUUUUAGAGGGGGAAAUUUUCCAAGAGGUUGUAGCGAUUCUGAUGAAUACUGAAAAUUGAUGUUGCCCAGAUGAAAUUACCAACAACGCAACACGGUUUAUUCCGUCACGGAACUUUAUGGCAAGUGCUAUCAUAAAUGCUAAUUUCUUAGCACUAUCCGAACUCCACAUUUUUGGGCACAUUUUGGGUUGGGUCCAGCAGGUUUUCUGAUCAAACAAAUCACUCCUGAUUACAAUCAAUUUCCUUACCAAAGCAGGCUAAAGCCAGACAGGCUUUCCAGCAUUUUUCAUAAGUAGCCACUCUGGGGACGGUGGGGAAUCUUGACCGGGCCAGCGAUUUAACUCUGUAUCCCGGCUUUUUGAGUUUUGCAGGCCCCUUGAACAUGAAUGUUUCCCAUGUCCCUUUGGCCAACUCAAAUGUGAAAAACAGCCGUCAGUGGUGCACCAUAGGCUUUUUUUUUUUUUAAGUACCCCCAAGUGGUUCUGAAUGGAGCCGAAAACCCCAAAAAGAAAACAUUCUCUUGAAACGCUUGCCAAAAUGGAAACGCGGUCUAAUCUACUGCUUUUUAACCUGAAGCAUAUCGGGCCAGUAAUAAAUUCUUUCUCCUAAGUGUAUGCUAUGUUUUCCCAUUGUGAGAUCAAAAGGUGAUAAUGCACUGCAACAAGGCACGAGUAUGCGUACACAUUUGCUGCUGGUUUCCUUUUGGUGCGUAUUUCAAGAGAAACUGCGAGCAGCCAAAACCUAGCGUGUUUCUUCAGGAAAUUUUGCCAGUUGUUUUGGAGGAAUUAUAUGAAAAAGAAAAGGCCCUAUAGAAUCAGAAGGAAGCAGACAUUAGUUUCUAAUUAAAUAUUUACAAAAAUAAAAUGCAGCAAAACAUGUUACCUGCCGUUUUAUGUCACCAAAAAAGGUUUUGGGACAUAUUACACUGAUCAAAAACUUUUUAAUACUUUUUUUUUU